rnacentral:rRNA from 1 species
AUUGAACGCUGGCGGCAUGCUUUACACAUGCAAGUCGAACGGUAACAGGCCGCAAGGUGCUGACGAGUGGCGAACGGGUGAGUAAUGCAUCGGAACGUGCCCAGUCGUGGGGGAUAACUACUCGAAAGAGUAGCUAAUACCGCAUACGAUCUAUGGACGAAAGCGGGGGACCGUAAGGCCUCGCGCGAUUGGAGCGGCCGAUGUCAGAUUAGGUAGUUGGUGGGGUAAAGGCUCACCAAGCCAACGAUCUGUAGCUGGUCUGAGAGGACGACCAGCCACACUGGGACUGAGACACGGCCCAGACUCCUACGGGAGGCAGCAGUGGGGAAUUUUGGACAAUGGGCGCAAGCCUGAUCCAGCAAUGCCGCGUGCAGGAAGAAGGCCUUCGGGUUGUAAACUGCUUUUGUACGGAACGAAACGGCUCUGGUUAAUACCCGGGGCUAAUGACGGUACCGUAAGAAUAAGCACCGGCUAACUACGUG